UUAUGGAUCGAUGAACUCCAUUGUAACAACGCACCUUCGAAUUGCAUCGGAAACGCUUCUGUAUUGCGUCCACCGUAUAACCUAUCAUCGUCUGUUUAGGGUAAAUCAGUGGAUCGGAAGUUACGUUUCUAUGUUUCUCGCCUGUCAGUAUAACACUGUGCAAGAGAUACAGCAAGAUCCUAAAAUCAUUCGAGUACAAGUAGCGUAAAAUGGUCGUUUAAAUUUCAAUAAAUUAACUAUUCAUACGUUAAUUGUACGCGGUCAGGAUUAAGGGGUACGGCGAUGGAGAAGAUUUUGUUAGCUAGAUGUUGAGUAAAUAAUCGAAGAUGAUAAUUUUAUAAAUGUUUCGUAUUUAUGAUGAUGGAAAAGAUUUAAUUUGAGUUACGUUACGUUUGAAUAAGAUAGACUUUUCCAAGAGUGGAGGAUUUGUAGAGAUAGUGGACGUAAUAGUAGUAUGAUUUAAUACUUGAUGUGUCUUUUUUUUCUUUGACAUAUAGGUCACUGUGGGGAGUAAUAUUGAUCUAGAUAUAACUAUCUUUUCUGAGAAGUACGUAUAUGCUUAUGGGAACUAUGUUUGGUUAAUCAAUAGAGCCAUUCUUUUGAGAAAUUGAAUCUAGAAGAAUUCGACGAUAUUUUGCCUUGUUUCAAUAGUACAUCAUUUUAAAGAAACGCCUGCGAUUAUAGUAUAUAAUUGCACAUAGGUAUAUGCAAAAUUGCAUUUUCAAAUAAUUAAAUCAAAAAUAUAGGAAUGUAUCAAUGGGAAGAAUAUUUGUUAAAGAUCUUUCCUUUUUAAUCAAAUUCGUCCAACAACCCCAUUCUCGUCAAACAUAAAAUGAACGGUGCCUUUCUCAAAGAAACAAGAAGAAAAUUGCUGUCGUUCUAAAGUUCUUCUCCAUUGCUAAACUACCGUUCGUGUUUCUAGUUACGCUCCAAUUAUUCGAUUGUAAGAAGCAAGCAAUCCCUCCAUCCAAGCGCUAGAUAUAGUUUCUCGAGUAGUUCUCUUCAAUACCGUUAUAUCGAUGAACUCUUUUUGAAUAAAGUUCACAUUUAUAAAGCAAACACAAUAAAAUACGACAGGACAAUUGUAAUCGAUAAAUAACAUUUUAUUAGGAUAUUAUAAGAAGCUAAGAUAUCGAGUUCUAAUUGUGAAUAUCAAGCGCUCGUCGUUCGAGGAGAUUACCAAUAUUUUCUUCCUUAACAAUAUUAAUUACGAAGUUUCGAUACCGUUUAUGACAUUAAGAUCUCUUGAUAAAGUUGUAUCGUUAAAAUCUUACUGUUCCUAGGGAAAAUAUAUAGUUAAUAUAUAUAGUUAAAUAUAUAUAGUUAAAACCGGAAUAUAUAUAGUUAAAACUUCCAGAGGAGCAUCUCGCAGACAAAUUAUUGAUUGUUAGUGGAAAAUAUAUAGUUAAUAUAUAUAGUUAAAUAUAUGUCGGAGAUGAAAGGACACCGGAACCGUGGGAUAGCCCCGCAACAUUGCAAUCUAAAGUCUACUAUAACUGUAACUAAACUAUUGUAUUUAUUCAAUCCGAUUGUAAUUGUUCGAGAUUAGUGACGGUGAGCUUUGGCUCGAGGUGACAGUCUGUCGCCCAACGUAGCCGCGGUCAAGGGAUGAACGCUUUGCCUAACAAAGGUAUGGAGUAAUUCUAUAGUUCUCCUUAAAAGAAAUAUUCGUGGCGACACGCGACAGUAAACAUUCCAACGGUUUCUGUCCCGUGGCUCGCCACACGCAGACCCUAUUCUUCGAGUAAGAUGAUUGCCAGAUGUCGAUGCGUCUCCGCAGUACAUGUUCGGCUAGCCCGAGGGCCCGUUAUAAAUCUUAAGGUUUAGUUAACUAAAGUCCUUCAAACAGACAAACAGUCUUUGUCCCAACUACGGGAAGAUAGGGGAGACAUAUUUUUCAACGAGCGGCGUCUCCCACUAGCAACUUUCCCUCGAGGGCGGCUAGCAUCUUUUUCUAACCACCGAUAUGGAGAUUGACCAAUUAGCAGCAACGUCAAUUUCCCUUACUUCCUAAACGAAGGCUUUCCUCGACGAAUCCGAUGAUCUCGUGUCCUUAGACACACCCCAUUAUAGUUUUCCUCUGUGGCAUCAUCGGGACGGGACGGGCAUUCUUUUACGCGCUCCCGUCGACCAAAGAGUAACGUCUUUACGCUCAGCAAUUAUUUUUACGAGUCAGACUUAGAUUCAGCGAGAACGCCCAUCUGUCAUCCCGUUGGCCGCGGAUUCGUUAUUGAACCGGAGACCACUGUCACUAGUGUCGCGGACGUCUCACCGCCGUGGUAGAUUGUCAAACCUGUGUUAUUCAUACCUGUGUCAAUAAAUCGUAUCUUCGUUACACCGCAAAGAUGGCUACCUUCAAUGAAGACUCCUCAAACACCGACAACCCUAUCCCCAAUGUCAUUCCGACAUAUAUAUCCACCGAAAAUGCGCUCUUGUAGACAAACGCUCGAUUCGCGUCAUAGCUUUUAAAGCUUGUCGCAUCUCAAUCCGUUGGAAAAAGUUUUUCCUGUAGCAUAUUUUAUUUUUACGAACCAACAAGGUCUUUGUUUAUUUCCUUCUUUUUUUGCUCCAAUUUCCCCAUUGUUUUUUCAAGGAUAGUAUUUCAGAGCCACUAGUCAAGUUUAUUGUAACAAUAAACGUACGUUUCGGAAACAUUUUGUGCUGUGAAACAGAAUACACUAAAGUUUGAAGGUCACAUCGAUUUUCGAAAGUUUAUAAAUGGAGGUGUAUGACAGUAUCACCAGCUGUUGCUGUCCCCAAGCGCCAAAAUACGUUCUGACUACUAUUUUAUGUAUCUCACAGAAGUAUGUCUUCAUUCAUCAUCUCCCAUGCCAUCCGCCAACGUGUUCUUAACAUGUUAUCUCCUAGUAAAAUAUUGAUGUUGAGUCAGAUAUCCAACUGAAUAAUCUUUUCGGUGUCUACUAUAAGACAUUUAAAACCAAGGCUCGUACACACGUGUGCUUAUACGUCAGAUGUAAUACUUAACACGAAACCUGCUUAUAUUAAUAUUAAAUUUAUGCAUAGUAGGAUGUUCGACCUUUGUAAAAAUGAAAUUAUAAUACAUACGGUUUCACCGUGGAAAAGUGAAUCUUUCUAGCAUGUCCACGCAAAUGCAGGGGAGGGGAGGACUGUGCAUGCACCAAACAACUUUACGUUCGUAAUUUUUCACACAAAUGUACAACUGUAGGGAAAAAAUUAUCUCUGAUUUUUCGGAUGUUAGGAAUCGAUAAUAUCGCAUAACGGAAUGCUGUGUUCUACGUAUUCUAUUUUUGUUACGAAAGUGGUACAAACGAAGUCCACAUAAGAAUAGUACAACAAAAUCGGUUGAGGUUAGGUUAUCGUGCAGAUAUCGCGGCUUUUGCAUUGGAAAUCACGCAACUGCCAGUCUCGUCGUUCCUUGUAAACGAAAGAAAGGUAUUGUAAUCGGUCGGAAUUAACAUAAAACUCGUCGCAUGCGACCAUAUGGCCUGAAUGUUGAAUAAACGAGAGUAGAACGCGAGCUAUGUGAUUCUAACCGUUUAGGCGGAAACUAAUGAUUGUAACCAGAGCCGAGAUAUAUGCCAAUAUUACUUUGCUCGACAAAGCGUAUAAGAUGAGGAGAGAAUCGCGAUAAGGUAGAACAAGAGACAGAUAUUCUCUAGUCUGUCAACUAGAUUGAAAUCCUAUAGCUAUAACUACAGUGAAUCCAUAUUCUGGCGAAUUGUCUUUUCACAAAUGAAGCUUCUGAAGGACGGAAUUGAUACAAUAACUACUGUUCAUUCAUAACUACUGUUGUAAGAAUCUAUAUAUUUGUCUAUCUAUAUCUAUAUAUAUAUCGAUCUAUAUAUAUUUGUCAGAAUGUCAUUUUAUCAAAAAACCCAUCCUCUGUAAUCAUAGUUUAACGAAGCAUAAUUAAUAGAAGAGGUAGAGCGUUAAGUGGAGAUGAUUUAAUCACAGUUAAGUAGAUAAAUCUUUAUAUUAGUCUCUUUAAUUAAAAUGUCCUACGUUUUAUUUGCAUCAUUUUUUUUCUUCGUCCAAUUUAAAAUAUUUAAAUAACAAUAGCCUAUACAAUAUAAUUUUAUGUAAAAAAAUUGAUUAUACCAUGUUUAUUACAGAUAUUUAACAUUUUUGUGUACACACAAAAUUUAAAUUAUACCUCGCUUGAGAACAAAAAUUCUAUUUGUUUUCUUAACAUGUACUAAUAAUUAUUGAUCAAACUAGAAAAAGCUGGAGGAGAUUACUUAGGAAGAUUACUUAGCAUCUUAUAUUCUUGGCAAGGCUCGAACGUUUUAUCUUCCUUUAGAUUUUCCUAUGUUUCCAUUUCUCUGACUUGCUAUUUUAGUUAGCUUAGUAUACGUGCUAUACAUAGGUAUGUAUAGUGUCAUGAUCGCGACAGUCGUGAGUUACCCACGCUUUAUCCUCUGUAAAUUAAACUAUUUAUAAAAGAAGAACAAAUUACAUGUUAGAACUUUCAUUCAAUUUACCAAUACAAAUAAUUUUAAACAAGAAAAAAGACCUAAUGCAGUGGUUUCAACUUAAACAUAUCCAACAGUUAUUUACGAAUAAAUAGUAUAAAUCUUUUAGCAACAUGAAAUUCGCGAUAUUUAUUCAAAUAUUUAUAUUUACAGUGCGCCAUCAGCAAAGAAAACGUGUUUAUCGAAACGUGCGCUAUCGAUUUUAUGCUUUUGCCACGCAAACAGGGAAAUUGCAACUCAAAAUUGAAUUCGCACUGCAAAGCGUUGACGUUACGACAUCAAUUACAUACUUCAAAAACACCGAAGGUAUCACACGGAAUCAGAGAGAUUCUAUGAGAAGUUAAACGCAUAGUCACCCUAUUGGGAAUAGGAUUGCUUUGAUUCGAGCUCAAACAUAGGGAAAGCUGAAAGAAUCUUUUGCGGAUCUUCCUUCUUCUCUACGUUGGAUUUUAUACAAAACGACUUUAACCUUUUCAAGGAAAUACGGAAAUAAGGAUUUUAGAUAGAGAGAUUUAUCUGGAAGGAAAUGGAUAGAAAACGUAGAACCAGUUCUUGUUGGUUGAAAGAUUUUUUCUCUUCGCAGAGAUUCAAGCUUUAAAGAACGAUCAAAUAUGUGCGCAGCUGACUUACGCGUGAAGUUAUUAUUAAAAAAAAUUGUUGCAUUUAAAAGGAUAAAUAUUAAUAUAAAUUUAAAAAAAUUGUUUGUUCAAUUAUCAUAAGUUUAAUUUAAAUUUAAAAAAAUUGUUAGUUCAAUUAUCAUAAGUUUAAAGAUAUGUAGAUAUUGUAUUUACAUAUCGAAAAUCAGACAGCAAUAUUAAUUAACACACCUAGUCAAACGCACACGUACUUUAAAACCGUGCUUUAAAAUCGAUAUUCGCUGAAACAAUACAUCGCUCUGCGCUUCCAAUUUGUUUUCGCACGAAGAAUCAGUCCACUCAUUGUUACCGUCACCAUCUCUACCGUAAUCUAUAUUACUCGAAUAAAUUCUAUAUCUUGAUUGGAAAAUCACAUAUUUUAACGAACUUCCUUAUUUUUUGUUUUUUAUGACUUUAAUUGGCAAUUUCCAUAAUGUUCUAUAACUUGACAAUAGACUGAUAAUAUUUCAGGAUAUAUAUACAUACAUCAUGUUUUUGAGGAUUCUGUAGUAAAAUAAUUAUAGUUGGGGAGUCCAACUUCCCAAACCGCGACAAACAUAUUUCACACAUCCACGACGACUUUAUAAGCAGACCCCUCGCGGUUUUGGGAAAUCGAUGAAGGACCCUCAAUUAAACAUAUCUCAGAGGGCAGAUCGACGAUGCGAAGAACACUUCCAAGCCCACACCCGACGCACCAGCGAAGGACGAUACAUCGUCGCUCUACCUUUCAACGAUCAGCUUCAGUCACUCGGAUCCUCUAAAACGCUGGCAAUUAAACGACUCGCCUCACUCAAUCGCCGAUCCCAGCACGACAAACGCUUCGAAUCAGAAUAUCGAACGGUAAUACAGGAAUACCUGGCAUUGGGACACAUGACGAAGGUCAAUGUCAACCACUCCGACGACAACGGAUACUAUUUACCCCAUCAUGGCGUGACCAAAGCAUCGAGUCAAACCACCAAACUCCGAGUAGUUUUCGACGGAUCGGCACCAAGCACUACCGGAACCUCCCUAAACGAUACACUUUACACAGGACCCAAGUUACAGGAAGAUUUAUUUUGUAUAUUAAUUAGAUUCCGCGCUCAUCAGUACGUACUCACUGGCGACAUCGAGAAAAUGUAUCGGCAAUUCCUCGUACGACCAGAGGAUCGGAAAUAUCAAAGGAUAGUAUGGCGCAGCGCGAGUGGAGAAACAGAAACAUAUGAGCUUAACACCGUAUACUCUUAUCAUAGAAAUAGAAGCAGUCCUCAAUUCCCGCCCGCUAACUCCUAUCUCCACCGAUCCAAAUGAUCUCCUAGCCCUCACUCCCGGACAUUUCCUCAUUGGCGAUUCAUUAAUGUGCUUACGUGAUCGAGAUUUCAGAGACAUUCCAUCGAACCGACUCUCCAAAUGGCAGCAUAUCCAACAGCUUAAACAACAUUUUUGGAACCGCUGGCAUAAGGAGUAUUUGAACGAGCUAACCAAACGCAAUAAAUGGAGCAAGGGUGGACACAGCAUCCAAAAGGGCACAAUCGUCAUCCUCAGAGAGGACAACGUUCCCUCCAUGCAUUGGCCUCUGGGCCGAGUUAUCAAGGUUCAUCCAGGCGCCGAUGGUGUCAUCCGGACAGCUACAGUUCAGACGGCAAAGAGCAUUUUGGAUCGGGGCGUCAAAAGGCUUGUCCCACUGCCAAUUCAACCCGAUCUCGAGAAACCCGAACAACUAGCCACCGAGACGAAAUAAGAUGGGAACUUCAACCACACCUCCCUAGUUUGAUCGGUACCCUCUCAACGGGGAGAGAAUGUUACGCCAUGCGGCUUACCAUAGGUCAUAUUCUUAACUAUCGAUCGCGGUACUAUAAUGUCGCAGACAGAUCGUCGUGUCUGCCCGGCAAACAAACAUUGUAGUGGCAAGCGCAUGGUUCAUUAAGCAGGGCGACUUCCAGAAACGUCGACUCGUGGCCCGUAUUUUACCUCGCAGUAAAAGAAUGUGGCGUGAUCCGAACGUAGUGGGGGUCGCCUUCCAGAAAAAACGAAAAAAAUCGAAAGGCGUUCAGAACUUUUCGAGAAGUCGAACCGUCAACACAUGUGGGCAAUCCGGUGGACUUGAUCGGCUUUUUACUUCGAAAGUUGAGUAAUCGGUGUCGCUUUCUUACGCAUCUUUGAACUGUAUAAAUGUUUUAAAAUUGUUUGAUCCAGAAUGUACCACACCGGACAAUCAAGAAGGCAGGUGCCUUGACUACAGAAAAUGUAAACCUCUGCAAGAAAUAUGGCAGAUACAGUACCGUACAGCCACCGAUUUUUAUAGACGAUCAGUGUGCAGAUACCAGGGCAAUGUUACGAUCGUUUGCUGUCCGAACGAUCCAAACAAAGAGAAGAGAGAAAUUUUAAUAAAAACUGUGUAUAAGUAUAAGGCUUUGCGACCACCAUACUGUGGUUUUAGCAACGUCUCUCAUACCAGGGUGGUCGAUGGUAAACCAGCUGAACUUGGUACGUUUUAUGUCUUUCUUUCCGAUUAAUAAUAAGCCAUUUACUGCAAAGAAUGAACUUUAAAGGCAUUAAACAGCACAUCAAUGAAGAGUAUCUUUUUGCUUGAAAUAAAAAAUUGAUAUAGGAGUAAUAAUAUGGAUAGAGAUCAAAAACUGUUAGGGCAGAAAUUACACGUUUGAACUUUAUAGUUCAGUAUAGUUCAAAUAGAAAUUAUAUAGAAUUAUUUAAUAAUUUGUAUUCCACUGGAAUAAAAAUUUAAUUUCUGUCUUUAUCAAAUCUCUAUUUCAGAGUAUUUGUACGUAUGUACUUAUCGUCUGCUGUAUGAUCGAAUAUCGAAUAGGUAAUAAUCGUUGUUACUCAUUAUGUGAGAAAAAAUUAUGUAUAUUCACAACUAUGACUAUUGCAUUUUAGGCGCUUGGCCAUGGAUCGCUGCAUUAGGUUUUCGUAAUCCCCGAAACCCAGACAAACCACUAUGGAAGUGCGGAGGUUCCAUGAUAUCGGCUAGGCAUGUUUUGACCGCAGCACAUUGUGCACAUAUGGAUGGAAUAGAAAACAUACACAAUCAUAAUAUUGCCAUUCUUAGAUUGGUGGAGGAGGUGCCAUUUUUGAGGUACGUAUAUCCCAUUUGUACGAAAGAGCCCCUACGAAAGAGCAACUUCGUCGGCUAUAACCCCCUUGUUGCUGGAUGGGGAGCAUUAAGAUAUAGAUGACCACGACGUAAUGCAUUAAUGGAAGUACAAAUGCCAGUGAUUAAGAACGCCGAAUGCAAAAUAGCUUAUUCCAAAUUUCCUAAUGCACCUGAUAUCACUGAUGGUAUAAUAUGCGCCGAACAUGCUCAGGGUGGAGAGGAUUCUUGUACGGCUGACCGCUGCGGACCACUGCUGAUACAACAUGAAUUAACCUCGUAUUUAAUAGGUAUUGUGUCUUAUGCUUAUAAGUGCGGCACAGCUGGGUAUCCCAGCGUUUACACUAGGGUCACAUCGUACCUUGACUUCAUUCUCCAAGCGAUGCAAUAAUAUGAUAUUACUGUUCCAUAAAUAUCUUUGUGUAAAAAACGUAAAGUUAGAUUUUCUUAUUGUGGAGAUAAGAAACAGCUCAAAUUUACAUUGUUUUGUACGUUACAAAUUAUAGGCUUAAAAUGUACGAAAUGUAACUUUGAAACGACACUAAUUUUUUACGCACGAUAAACCUCCACGACUUAGGUAUGUAAAGAUGAUAAACGUAUAUUAAUUCUAUUAAUUUGGUAAUAAUAAACCAACUUUCUGAGAAGUUCUGUAAAUUUCGUUUCUGUUGUAUCAAGAGAAUAAUGGAAUAUUCCACUUAGAUCGUAUACUUCUUGUAUGUACAUACAAAAUUUUCCGGCUAAUCUAAAACACUUCAUAAGAUAGAGAGCUUCUAGAAAUUCGGACACAGAGAGUGCAUAAAAUACAAGAUAAGUCUCGUGUCUUUCAAAAUUAUUUUUUAUUCGCUAAAAACGUCCUGUGUACUCAUGCAAUCACAUGCAACCUCGAAACUUAACUUAUUUUUUAUCACUUUCCAAUUCAAUACACUGUUUCUGCAUUUUUGACUAUAUGUAAGAGAAAUUUCCAUUCAGCCAAAGGUAUACUUACAAAUUACAGAUUCCUACACGACUCUCAUUAAAAAUUUAUCCGCACUCCAGAUAGUUAAAACUUCUGUCGACCGUAUUGAUCCAUCUGCACUCUUCGUAUGACGUCAAUAUCUGUUCAGUGCUGCUGCGUAGGUUUCAUUGUGUUACGUCAAUUCGUUUGUGACCGUUGCGCGAGUAAUGGCGCUUUGCAAUGGUGAUUUGCAGGAAAACAGUGCAAGAUGCUGUGAUUCGUUUCUUGUGGUCGGAGGUUAUGUUUGAUGCCUAUAUUUAUCAAAGAUUUAAUGCACAUUAUGGAGAAAGUGUUUUGUCACGAAGUGUGUUUGAAUGGGCACAAAAGUUCAAAGAAGAUCGCACAAGUGUUAUGAAAAAACAGCUGGACGCCCGUCCACAUCCACGAUGACAACAUUGAACGUGCUCAUGAACUUAUGCUCUAUGGAAUAGACGAGUGACACUGGAUAAUGUGGCAAAUCAUUUGCAAAUCAGCCACGGCUCUGCUUAUGCAAUAGUGCACGACAGAUUUGGAUUUUAAAAAGUUUGUGCGAGAUGGAUGCCGAAAAAGCUGAUGAAAAGGUGAAGACGACGAUGCAUUCGUGGUUCGCAGCUCAGCCCAAAACAUUUUUUAAUGAGAAAAUACGAAGGUCCUUCGGCAAAUGGACAAAGUGUAUACAGAAAUCGAGUGAUUAUGUCAAAAAAUGAUGUAUGUCUUUUUUGACAAUUGCUUAAAAUAAAUUCUACACCGACAGAGCGGGUAACUUUUUACUCACCCUCGUAAGACACUUAAAUUUCCAAUCUAUUAUGAUGAAUAAAAGAGCUUAUACUAUUAAAUCUAAUUGUAUUUUGUUGCAUGAGAGUACACGUGUAUGUGAUGUACAUUACCUUUAUAUCCCCUUGAACGCUUCAAUAUUGCGCAUAUAUACUAUAUUUUGUACAGCUUCUAUAAAAUUUUGUAUGUUUGUUUAGGCUGUUAAUCUAGAGGCUGGAGUACAAAGAAGUGGCACAAUGAUGUGGGCUGAUGACAUUUAUAAUUAUCAAGGAAUCACCCCUACAUUCGCUCAGAAUUUUAAUGAAACUGUCCCUUGGGAAGGAAGAACUGAUACCUUGAUAUCACAGUUUGUACAUCCUAUAUAUACGACAAAUUUUAGAACAUUAUAUAACGAAGAACCAGAUCGUCGUGGCCAUGUGAUGUGAAUAAAAGGACUUGAAUUUGAUGAUAUUUUUAUAAUGUUAGAUAACAUAACUAAGUAUCUUCACAGUAAGAUAGGAUGACAUGGUUUACAUGAUCUUAAUGUUGUUCACUUGAGUGAUGAUAUUAUAAGGAAAAGCGUAAUAUCACAGGAUAUUUAUGUUUAGUAACCAGUAAUUCAGAGAUUGGUAUUCAUGGUUACUAUAACGAGGCUGUAGAAACGCACCCUUUCUUCUUUGCAAAUGGUCCUGUAUUUAUGUCUAAGCCGAAACUGGAACCUCUGAAUAAUUUAGAUUUAUUCUUGUUAUUUUCUAAAAUACUUAUCUACAGUAUACCAUAAGGAAUGAUACUGUAUCGCACCUAAUCAAGUGCCUUAAGAAACAUCAACAGGAUAUCACAGUAAUCCCUUAUCGACUGAUAUUUGUAGCCACUACAAUAUCUAUGACACUGGUAGUAAUUAUAAGAACAAUAAUGAUGUUCUAUAAGAGGAAAUGAUGAUUAGGAACAAAAACUUACAGGAGAUAUCAUGCGGUGGAUGGAUAAUAUGUAAAAAAUAUUAAGCAGUAUAUGAAUUUUCAUAUUGCGUAGAGAUAACAAAAUGAAUUUUAAAAAAUGUCGACAUGGUAAUAAGAAAUAGCAUCAUGACAAAGAAUAUAUAAAGACAGUUUCAUUUUUUAUAAAUAAAAAUUUGUUGUUCCAGAUUUUGAAAUACAGUGAAACGUUUAAUUAGUAUCUUAAUAUCUUUAAAUAAUUAUUAUUUUAGAAUCAAUUGUAAUUGUAUCAUACGUACUUUUGAAUUCGUGCAAGAACAUAUGUAAUUUUGAAGUAGUUAUUAUUAGGAAAUUGUUAGACGCGAACAGUAUGCGAAAAGUUAGUAUGCAGUGUAAUAAUUAUCAAUCAAAACACAAGAAUUAAAUUCUUGAGGAAAAAAUUUCCGGAAUUUCUUAUUUACAUGAUUAUAAAAAAAUCCAUAAUAAAAAGGAGCUGCUUUCUAAUACUUCUCUUCCUUGUAAUGCCUACGUUAACAAUAACGAGGUUCGACUUUUUGUUUUUAGAGGGAUACUGGAAAAUUUGAAAGUACAGUACCAUUGGGAAGAAAAUCACGAUAUUGAAAACGAUAUUUGCAAGUAAAUUUCCAAAAAAUCUGUUUUCAAAUUUUCGCUUUCUAUUUCACAUUAAAAGAAAGGGAGGUCUGCCUUCUUUUUCUGCAAGACAAAACAAACAUUCUGAAUCUCGUAUCAAUGAAUGAUGUCAAUAAGUUAUUUUUCUUUUCAGAUUGAACAAUAUUCCAGAUUUAUUCAUAAUUUCAUACUACGCGAAGAAUAGACUUUCAUAGGUAUAUAAAGGAAAUAUUAAGUAUAGGAAAACUCUUUUUCGUUGUAGGUGACAUAUGCUUCACAGUUGAACACAUGUAUUUUUGAACACAUAUAAAUGAAAAAGUACUCUUAUGGAGAAAAAGAAUUGAUACCUUCGAUUGACAUUAGAUAAUGUUUAUAAACUUAUGAACAAUCACUAUCAGUUUGUAUUUUAGGUGCACACGCAGAUUUGUUGGAGUUCUUAUAAAAUGUACUUCCUGUACGAACGUUUUAUUCUUCCAAAUUUUACGAUACUAUGUCUCAUAUAAUAACUAUAUGGAUUAAACGUAAUAUAAAUAAUCCGAAAAUAGACUCGAACGACAUUAAUUGUCUUUCUAUUUAUACCAAUAUGGAAAAUACAAGUAAAGCUGGAGCAAUAGUAUGCAAGAAUGGACUAUUUAUUAUUUUAAACCAAAUCAUAGCAUAUUCAGAAUGCACAGUAUUAUCAUGAAAUGUAAAUGAAUCAGUUGUAAACGAACGAUUUUACUGUAAAAUCAUUGCCUCUUUUUUUUCAUCUGAAAUAUAGCAGCAAUGAGUACAUUCUUUUAAUAUAUAAUAAAACGAGAUAUCUUUAUAAAGUUACAUAUGUCAUCACUGGUAACUGUUAUCUCGUAUGACAUCAAAUAUACCGUUAGUAUGGAAUGAUAUUUUUAUGAAGAUAUACUUUAAUGAUAGAUUUUAUGAAUGAAACGUUAUAUAAGAAAAAUUAUCUCUUGUUAUUCUAUGAAGUGUAGUAGCUAAUGAAGAUUAAUUUUACGAAGUAUUAGAGCAAAAGAGAAUUAAAAAAUUAAAAAGAUCUAAAUAAGAUUGUUCGUGUGGCUUAAUUAUCUCAAUUCUGGUACACCACUUGUUACAUUCUAACUAAUUAGCGCUAAACAAUAACUUGCAAAUAUUAAAGAUAUUAACACCUAAAGGUUUUCAGGAAAUUUUAUAAUAUUUGAUUAUUGUAUAUCUAGUCAUUGAUUGAUAAAAUUUCUUGUAUAAGCAUAGAUCGAGGUUGACGUCAUACGCAGAUUGCAUAUCAUUGACAGGUAUCGUUUUAAUUUAUUUUAUGGUUAGAAUAGUUUGAAUAUUAUACGAAUAAUUAUUUCCAUUCGAACGAUUAAUAAAUCACGUACCUAUAAAAGAUAUAUUACGAAAAAGACGUGACGAAACAAAAAAAUAUUGGAAAUUCCGUUGUCAUUAGAUCAAUUAUUUUUGCAAUGAUUUUUAUUUCCAUGUAAUUACAUAUGAAAUGGCUAAUUCAUUAACAUCUCCUCGAAUCGAAUAUAAUUCGUUACACUUCACAACGAUUCAAAUAAUGGACGGGAAAUAUAUAAUAACUUUCCUGUCCUUGCGUUAAAACAGUACUGUACAAAUCAGAUGAUACAACCUAACCCUAACCUAACCCCAAAAAACCCAAUUACAUCCACAUUGCAUGACAGCACACUUGCAAUGGAUUUUUGUGAUUUCAAUGUCACAGACAAUGACACAACUAAUCAGAACACGUUCGAGGCUAUAGACAUUGAAAUUACCGCGUGUUUAAUACGUUUAAAGCAUAAAUCUAAAUUUCACGCGAUUAUUUCUUUGUACAUUGUGAAACUCUUAAAUUAUCUUAAUCGAAUAAAUAAUCCUAAUGUAAUAAAACAUCUUGAAAUAGACCUAGAUAUCUGAAACAGAAACUCGAAGGAUAAGAAAUCCUAAAAGGUACUAAUCCUAAAAUAACAAACUCCUAAAUAAUAAACAAGUGAUAAAACCUGUUAUAAAUAAUAAACCUUACCUGGAAUAAUCAAAUCCUAACUAAUCGAAAAUAAAAUAAGGCAAGCAAUUCUUAAUCUUUCAAGUAAUUUUUCCGAAAACACAGAAAGAUAGAGAAAUUAAAAAGACGCAGCACAAAUUGCAGCACAAUGAAAGUUUCGGAGCGAUGAAUACGAUCGUAUUAAACUAAAUAAUUUUCAAAAGUGAAAUUACACUGAAACGUAUAUCGAUGAUAUUUGUCAUUUCUACGAUCUGUUUCGCUUGAUCGUGCUUCUUUUCUGAUGUAAAUUCAAUUUAUAAUACGAACUAAGUUUCCUUUAUUAUUAUUAGUCCUGCGUCUUUUUAAUUCGUCACUUCUUUUAUUUCAGAACAAUGACGGGCUCCAAGAUGCUGUUCGGAUGUUUGGCGUUAAUUGCUUUUCUGCAUCCAUUAGUUCACGUUUGUACUUCGAGUAGUACAGCUCAAGGUUUGUACUUCGAGUUGUCUUUUUCCAUGCACUUCAAAUUCCAAUACGAUCUGGUCACGUGGCCUUCGUACAAUUUCGAAAUUUUACCUGUUUGGUAAUCGUCAAUGAAAAAAGAAGUUAUGCGUGACCUCAACACAUUGAAACAAUUUUUAUGAUUUUUUAUUUGCCGGUUGGUCAGCAAGUUAAUGGAAAAAUUUCACUUAACUAUUCGCGUUAAUUUCUUCGGUUUAACUUUUGGGAAAUGCUUCGUUAGCUUCGGGAAUAUUCCAACGAUUCGUUUUACGUACAAAAUAAGCAUGAUAAAUAUUACAUCACGGUAAUGAAAACUAUUGGCGUAAUACCUAAGAUAAAGAUGCAGAGACAUUCUUAGAAUUUCUAAUGACACCUUUAUAGAUUUCUCGUUUAAUAUCGCUACUACAUUUGAAUCACUUUUACCUAACGGUGUCACAUAGUCUCGUUGGAAAUUUGUCAAAUUCCUUAAAAUGAUCACUGAAAAUUUUCCUAAAUUUCCAAGAAUUUAUUUAUCACGAGGUAAAGAAAAUGUGUAUUAGAAAGAUGAGAUCGAAGGUUUACCAUUUUUUCAAUUAUGGCGAACGCAAUAUGUAAUCAAUGAAAAUUUUAUAUUUUCACGUUGAAAGUUUCUUCAGAUAAUUAUUAUCCAGAUGAUGACUAACUCUUACGAAUUAAUGCGUGUCUGUAGGAUAAUCCGGUAGACUUGAUCCGCUUUUUAUAUCGAAAGUUGAACAAUCGGUGACGCGUUCUUAUACACCGAACCGCGAAAAGCAAAAUUUCAUAUGAUCUCACCAAUUUCGGAUGUCAGUCAAAUCAGUCAAAUCAGUCAAAUAAUAAGUUCGCGUUAAUAUACACGUUCGAUUUUUGAAAAGCUUGUUCAAUUUAAUAAGAGUCUUGGUAACAGGCUUAUGUUUUUAGACCUAAUUGGUUGUUUUCAUUUACAAGUACCUCGUGUUAAAGUACUCAUAAAAUGACAUUAAAAUCAGAAAACUAAUAACUGAAAGAUUAUCAUUUUUCCUCUGUGGUAGUUUACAUAUAACAUAAUGCAACUAACAUGUCACGAUUAAUGCAAAAUAAAUAAAUUACUAAUAUAGACAUUUUUUUAGUAAUUUGUAUAAUCGUGAAACGAAUUGGACUUUCUAAAGGCAAAUAUUAAAGGAAACAUGGAAUUGAUGCCAAAUCUAUCACAAAUAUUAUUUAUACUACUUAUUUGCGCAGUUUGAAGCGAAUCAAAUUGAUGAAGGUUUCUUUGUUACAUGUUAAUUUACAUUUUAAAAGACAUAACAGGCACGCUAAUUAGUUUGCUUAAGAUACUUUCGAGAUACCAAGUUAGACGCGUUUCCAUGAAAUCAUAUCAAUUUUACGAUGAUAUUUUUCUAUCAAGCAUGCAAUUAUAACCGUAUCGUUGAUUAGUGCAUACAAUUAUCCAUGUGCAUUCGUCUUUCCGAGUACCGCGCUUCAAUAUUGCUAAUUUCAAAUUCAUACAUUAAUCUUCGUAAAUGCUUGAAAAUGCUAUAUAACUGUAUCAGCUUCUGUUAAAAACAUUUUAUAGUAAAAUCUCUAUAAAUUUGUAAUAUUUUUUAGACAAUUUGAAUUCAUUAUAUUAUACAUCAUA